UAUAACAAGUAACGACAAAGUAAAUCCAAAACAUAAACCUAAACUUCCUACUCCCUCUUCCUCAGUCGACACUCUCCCACCCCAUUUUCUUAUGUCUUUCUUCCUCCCUCCUCAUUUUUUUAUGUCUUUCUUCCACCUUCAGUAGUCAGCAUUAAGGCCGCGAGAAAGACAAAGAGGAACAAGAUGGGUACUCAAGAAAAAAAGUGUCUUUGAGAAAUUUCAAUCUCCUCUAAUGUCAAACCUGAGAGUGCCUAAUAUAUUCUUGGAUGCAUGAAGAUUAAGAGGUGAAUGAAGGUGGCAACAUAAAUCAUCAGGCAAAUACUUAUAUUCAUUGCAAAAUUUUGUACAUUAUUUCUGAUCUCUGUUACAAGCAAGCCUCACAUUGGCUAGUUUUUUCCUUCAAUAUUUUGUUAUUGUACAAGACUUAAUGUAUUGCAGUUGCUAUUAAUUGAUUAGUAUAAAUGUGUAUUUUGCAA